rnacentral:lncRNA from 1 species
GCCUCACAAAGCCGCUGGCCAAAGCCUCACAAUCUAAGCCUGCACAAGGCCACAGGUGGAUUUAGGGGCUGGCUGAUGAGGCUUCUGAUUAAUGGAUGGUGCAAGUCCAGGUUUCUCCCUCUACAAGGACAGGGGGCAGAAGAAACUGCAGGUGAACGGAGAGAGAAACCAAUAGUUGCCAACUGAACAAGAAGAAACAGUAGGUUGUCCAUUUCAUUUCCCUACUUUAAACUUUGCAACAGAGCACAUAGAGAGACCCAGCAAUAUAAAUACUUGCCCCUGUGCACAGUUCACCCAUUCAGAUAAUAGGCAUUUUAUUAGUCAUCUAGAAUGCUGCACAAUAUAGUAAAAUCUAGAACUCACCACUUUUAAGCACACACAGAUCCCAGAGACUCAAGUUAUUUGUUGUGCAUAGUUUAUUUAAAAGCUUUCAUUCUGGUAUAAAUUAUCUAUGAAUAGGUUAUGAUCCUCAUCAAAUUUAUCUGCUACUCAAUUUUUUUUUCUUGAGAGAAGCAUUUAACUUGAGGGUCAUUCACUAGCUUGCCACUAUCAACAUUCAUUAUAUGAAUCUAUAUAAAUUCUGAAAUCAUAUGGGGCAGUUUCUGUAUUCUUAUUGGAUUAUUUUUUCCUCUUCACAAACUAUCUGACAAAAAGAACACACAUAUAAAUCAAGCUUAAUAUAUGCAUGUGCAAGGUUUUGAGGAACAUUUAUGCUGAAAAUGAGCUUCUAAAUGUGUUUUCAUCCCUUCAGGUAAAAAUAAAAAAUGCACAAAUAUAUGUUUAUUAAUUAAAAAAUUAAUAUAAUUAUGUAAAAAAUAUUUAAAAUUAGAUUAACAGCAUCUAGCAUGCUCUUUGUAUAUUGGCCUUCCUUACAAGGUUCUCAUGAAUCGCUGAGAAUCUAUAAUUUAUUCACACUGAACACCUGAAAUUCAUUAUAUAAAUUCUAAAUAUUAAGAUAACUUUUUGUGCUAUAAGCUAAAAUAAUAAUUUCCAACAACUGUUAUUUUUCCUGUACAUGUCAACAUUUCUGUUUUUUAUAUGGAAACUAGGUAUGAUUUUAAUGCUUAAUUCUUUUAUUAAACUUUUGACGCUGCAGUUGUCUUUUGAAAACUGAAGAGCAAAAACAAAUAAUCCAUUCUUAAUUUACCCUGGUUGAAACAAAAAUUUCAGCUUCAUAAUGGCAAAUAAUAAUUUCAAUCUGAUUGUGACUGCCUUAGGUGUCUGGAAAGGUAAACAAGCAAUAAAAUUAAAAAACACAAUUAGGAAGUCAUUUCAGCUGAAGAAAAAAUUAAAACAAAAAUUAUUGUGUUUAAAUACACCAUGUACAUUUAGUUGUUAAAUUAGGCAUGACUUUAACACUCAUAAGAAUAAAAAUCUGCAUUAACUUGGACAAAGAGGAGAGAGCUCAGCUGCAGACCCUCCAAGUGUCCCUAUUUUCCAGGGAUGUCCCUGAUUUAGAGAAGCCACCCCGAUUUCUGAUUUGAUCCCAGAAUGUCCUGCUUUUCCUUAGGACAUCCCUAUUUUCAUUGGAGAAAUGUUGGAGGGUAUGGUAGGAUGUCCUUAUUUUCAUUGGAAAAAUGUUGGAGGGUAUGGAGUUAUUCGACUCCUGAGCUGUCUGAAGGCAAUCCUGUAUAGGGAAGAUUUUUUUAAGGUUUAAUGUUUUAUAUAUGUUGGAAGCUGCCCAGAGUGGCUGGGGCAACCCAGUAAGACGUGUGGGGUGUAAAUAGUAAAACUAUUAUUAUGGAAUGGGAUGUCCCUAUUUUCAUUGGAGAAAUGUUGGAGGGUAUGCAGUUGAUUAGAGCGUGGUGCUGAUAACAUGGUCACAGGUUCGAUCCCCAUGUGGGACAGUUGCAUUGGACUAGAUCAGGGGUCAGCAACCUUUUUCAGCUGUGAGCCAGUCCACCGUCCCUCAGACCAUGUGGUGGGCCAGGCUACAUUUUUUUGGGAGGAGGGGGAAUGAACAAACUCCUAUGCCCCACAAAUAACCCAGAGAUGCAUUUUAAAUAAAAGCACACAUUCUGCUCAUGUAAAAACACCAGACAGGCCCCACAAAUAACCCAGAGAUACAUUUUAAAUAAAAGGACACAUUCUACUCAUGUAAAAACACGCUGAUUCCCGCAAGCUGGAUUGAGAAGGCGAUUGGGCCGCAUCCUGUCCUUAGGUUACCUACCCAUGGACUAGAUGGUCCUCAGGGUUACUUCCAGCUCUACAAUUCUAUGCUGCUAUUAAAUAUAUCUGUACAUUCUUAUGUACAGAUAAGCCAUUCAUACAAUGUACCGGUACCUUCAUCACUCUUUCAAAUACAUACCAUACUACAUACAGUCAUACCUCGGGUUAAAUAUGCUUUAGGCUGAGCGUUUUCAGGUUGCGUUCCAUGGCGACCCGGAAGUAACGGAACAGGUUACUUCCGGGUUUCGCCGCUCGCGCACGUGCAGAUGCUCAAAAUGACAUCACGCGCAUGCACAGUAGCAGCGAAUCGCGACCCGCGCACACGCAGACACGGGUUGCAUUCUGCUCAGGAUGCGAACGGGCUCCGGACUGGAUCCCGUUCGCAUCCAGAGGUACCACUGUAUAUCACAAAUGCUCAAACAGUUUUUGCUUACUAGGGAUAGUCCCGGUUGUUUGUCCAUUGGUUUUUAAGUGUUGCAUUCUUGGCUUAGCUGCCGUGCUGGGCUGCUCAGCAGACAGCGCAGGCAGGGAGGCAGGGAGGGAGGCAAAUGAACAAGGCCCUAGAAGGGGGUAGUUAGGGAGAUGUGGACCAGAUGGAGGGGGGCCAUGAAAGAAAAGUUUGAAGAGUGGCCAAACAGAAUUAGGAAAACAAUCCAGAGAAGACAGGUGAAGCAAAUCCAAGUAAGAGAGAAUGAGCAGAAAGGAAAGGUACAGAUGGCAAGGAGAUGGAAGGAAAAGUAAAGUUCGUAUCUUGUUCUGAAAUAGCCAGUAUUCUGCUAGGCUCUAGUCUAUUCUCAUCUCAAGCCUUUGAUUGUUUAUCACUGCAGAUGAAAAGGUCACCAACACAUAAUUGUCUUCCAAGUCCCAUGGCUAGAAAUAGCAAAGCAAAUGUCAGAGUUCUAGUCCUGCCUCCUAGUGCUCCCUGACACCAAAGGCAAGGUGCCAUUAACUUCAAGGAAGCCUGAAACAGGCCACAGUCAACUUAGACCAACAUAAGACAAACUUCUAAAUAGAAAUACAGAGCCAAAGUUCUGAGCCUUUCAUGUUAGCUGCAUCAGCAUAUCACUGAUAUAAUCACCUUAAACUGUUACCAGAGAUUGCACUCAGACUAAGCUACAUCACAAACUGCUUUGCAUUACCACCCAGUGACAUUGGAAGGUGCACUUAAAAAUAAUACUUCCUAAAGCUUUUCAUAAUUCCCUUAAAGAUGAAUAUGGUUGUGAGCAAUAUAUUUCACUUUAUGCUGAAGACAUAUUGCUGCUUUUAUUAUUUUUUUUAGCAUUCCUUACCUGAUAUGACUGCUCUGUCUUACAACUGCAGCUAAACCUCCUGCUGCAAAAUUAAUUUGAUUAAAUCCAAUGCUUGACCUUGUCAGCUAGUGACCUUAGACAGCACUUUGCAAACUACUACUUUCUAGAGUCUGCUAAAUGUUUCACCUGUGUUGGAAUACUUCUGUCUCCCAUGAUGCUUUCUGCCCAAUAAUAGGAACAAUUUCUUCAAAAAAUUAUUUAUUAGAAAAAUGAGCUUGCAUCCUAUAAGAUUGAGAGUUUUCUGGUUUACAAUAAAUGCCUGUAUAUCAUGUAGCCUUUAUCCAUUACAACUAUGGUUGUAAAUAUACUUGAAGUUGAUACUUUUAAGGUUUCUUCAAAUUAACAGAAUUUAAUUUUUAGUGACCUAUUCACACUAUGUAUAUAUCUAUAUUGUUUAUAUACGUUUAACUUUCAUGGCUUCCAGGUAACUGAGUUUGCAAAAGAUGUUGAGAAUUACUUAUUGAAAAUCACUAGCCCCCUACCCCUUCACAGAUCUUCAGUUCCUAUUGUUCCCUCUGGCAAGAGGAUGACUGCUAAACUGGUUGAAGUCUGUUGUGUAAUUAUGCUCUAAUAGGACAGUUUACAAAUGAGAUAAGCACUACUUAGUUCCAUUGUUAUCACCAGUAAGCGCUGAAGUAAUUGGCCUCCAAGUAACAAUUCUCCCCGUGAGCCUCCAAUUCUGAUUUGAAGAGCAAACAUAAACCAUAGUUUGUUGGUUUGGAUGUCAUGGCCAACUAUGGUUAGCACUGAUGGGCAAAUCAUUAAAAUUCCAGUUCAUGUCACUUUCAGAUGUGUUCCUUUUGAAGUCUGUUCUGCCCUUCUCCUGCAUUACUUCAUGGACUUUCAAAAAACCCCAAAGAAUUCUGAGAAUUCUUACAACUACCCCAAAAGGUAGUUGAAGUUACGAGGUGACCCAAAGACUGCUUUAAUUUAUUUUAUUUUAUUUCCUUUUUAACAGGUAAGAGCAGCUGCCGUGUGCACUGAAAGUAGAACUGCAAGCAUUUCUUGGAACAAUGUGAUGAUGUACCCUCCCUCCCAAGGAGAUUUUAUGGUGGGGUUUGUGUGUGUGGAGAGAAGGCUGCAGCUAAUAAAAUCAGUCAAAUUACAGCAUUAGUUGGGAUUCAGAGAAGUUGUUCAACACUGGAGAUGAUUUCCUUCCAGAUUACUCAACCUCCACAAAUGUCAGAACUCUGAUGUUUGCUGCUUAGAGCUAUGCUGUGCCUAUGUAUGGGUUGGGGACCUGAUUAGAAAAACUGAUUAAUGAAUCAAAAUGAAUCAAGAAACGUG